CACGUCGAGCGGACAGAUGGGAGCUUGCUCCUUGAUCUUAGCGGCGGACGGGUGAGUAACACGUGGGUAACCUGCCUGUAAGACUGGGAUAAAUCCGGGAAACCGGGGGUAAUACCGGAUGAUUGUCUGAUCCGCAUGGUUCGAACAUAAAAGGUGGCUUCGGCUACCACUUACAGAUGGACCCGCGGCGCCUUAGCUAGUUGGUGAGGUAAUGGCUCACCAAGGCAACGAUGCGUAGCCGACCUGAGAGGGUGAUCGGCCACCCUGGGAAUGAGACCCGGCCCCGACUCCUACGGGAGGCAGCCGUAGGGAAUCUUCCGCAAUGGACGAAAGUUUGACGGAGCAACGCCGCCUGAGUGAUGAAGGUUUUUGGAUCGUAAAGCUUUGUUGUUCGGGAAGAACAAGUACCGUUUGAAUAGGGCGGUACCUUGACGGUACCUAACCAGAAAGCC
rnacentral:rRNA from 2 species